rnacentral:rRNA from 1 species
GAUGAACGCUGGCGGCGUGCCUAAUACAUGCAAGUCGAGCGAACAGACGAGGAGCUUGCUCCUCUGACGUUAGCGGCGGACGGGUGAGUAACACGUGGAUAACCUACCUAUAAGACUGGGAUAACUUCGGGAAACCGGAGCUAAUACCGGAUAAUAUAUUGAACCGCAUGGUUCAAUAGUGAAAGACGGUUUUGCUGUCACUUAUAGAUGGAUCCGCGCCGCAUUAGCUAGUUGGUAAGGUAACAGCUUACCAAGGCAACGAUGCGUAGCCGACCUGAGAGGGUGAUCGGCCACACUGGAACUGAGACGCGGUCCAGACUCCUACGGGAGGCAGCAGUAGGGAAUCUUCCGCAAUGGGCGAAAGCCUGACGGAGCAACGCCGCGUGAGUGAUGAAGGUCUUCGGAUCGUAAAACUCUGUUAUUAGGGAAGAACAAAUGUGUAAGUAACUAUGCACGUCUUGACGGUACCUAAUCAGAAAGCCACGGCUAACUACGUG